rnacentral:rRNA from 1 species
AGCAGUAGCCGCGGUAAUACGAAGGGGGCUAGCGUUGUUCGGAAUCACUGGGCGUAAAGAGCACGUAGGCGGAUCUUUAAGUCAGAGGUGAAAUCCCGAGGCUCAACCUCGGAACUGCCUUUGAUACUGGGGAUCUCGAGUCCGGGAGAGGUGAGUGGAACUGCGAGUGUAGAGGUGGAGUUCGUAGAUAUUCGCAAGAACACCAGUGGCGAAGGCGGCUCACUGGCCCGGAACUGACGCUGAGGUGCGAAAGCGUGGGGAGCAAACAGGAUUAGAUACCCCAGUAGUCCCUGUCUUUUAUAC